rnacentral:rRNA from 1 species
CCUGGGCUACACACGUGCUACAAUGGCGGUACAAAGGGUCGCGAACCCGCGAGGGGGAGCCAAUCCCCAAAAAGCCGCUCUCAGUUCGGAUUGCAGGCUGCAACUCGCCUGCAUGAAGCCGGAACCGCUAGUAAUCGCGGAUCAGCAUGCCGCGGUGAAUACGUUCCCGGGCCUU